AUUGAACGCUGGCGGCAGGCUUAACACAUGCAAGUCGAGCGGGGGAAGGUAGCUUGCUACUGGACCUAGCGGCGGACGGGUGAGUAAUGCUUAGGAAUCUGCCUAUUAGUGGGGGACAACAUCUCGAAAGGGAUGCUAAUACCGCAUACGACCUACGGGAGAAAGCAGGGGAUCUUCGGACCUUGCGCUAAUAGAUGAGCAUAAGUCGGAUUAGCUAGCUGGUGGGGUAAGGGCCUACCAAGGCGACGAUCUGUAGCGGGUCUGAGUGGAUGGACCGCCACACUGGGACUGGGACACGGCCCAGACUCCUACGGGAGGCAGCAGUGGGGAAUAUUGGACAAUGGGGGGAACCCUGAUCCAGCCAUGCCGCGUGUGUGAAGAAGGCCUUAUGGUUGUAAAGCACUUUAAGCGAGGAGGAGGCUACUCUAGUUAAUACCUAGGGAUAGUGGACGUUACUCGCAGAAUAAGCACCGGCUAACUCUGUGCCAGCCGCCGCCGUAA
rnacentral:rRNA from 1 species